rnacentral:lncRNA from 1 species
UCCUGUAUUUCAUUUUUUAUUAAAUUAUGUAUUUACUCUAUAUCCUGUUCACAGCUUCCCCUCCUUCCUCACCUCCCAGACCCUCCUUCUCACCUCCUCUCACCCCUCUUCCCUAUCUCCUCAGAAAAGGGAUGGCUUCCCAUGGAUAUCAACCAGCUUUGGCAUACCAAGUUGCAGUAAGACUGGGCACAUCUUCUAAUGAGGUUGUACAGACAAGGCAGUGCAGAAAGGAGAAAGGGAUCUAGACAAACUGCCACAACAGCAGAAAACCAAAGUUGUUAGAGCAAUGCAAUUUAAAUGAUGUAAAGUUUGCUACUG